GUCUCAGUAGUGCAAGGGAUAGCAUGUUGGACUUCUAAUUCAAAGGUUAUGGGUUUGAAUCCCACCUGAAAUG